UACGUAGGUGGCAAGCGUUGUCCGGAUUUACUGGGCGUAAAGAGCGCGCAGGCGGUCGUUCAAGUCGCGUGUGAAAGCCCCCGGCUCAACUGGGGAGGGUCACGCGAUACUGAUCGACUCGAAGGCAGGAGAGGGUAGUGGAAUUCCCGGUGUAGUGGUGAAAUUCGUAGAUAUCGGGAGGAACACCGGUGGCGAAGGCGGCGACCUGGGACAAUACUGACACUGAGGUGCGAAAGCGUGGGGAGCAAACAGG
rnacentral:rRNA from 1 species